GAACACGCUAUGAAAAGACAGAGUAAACAGAAACGGGUCUUUAGAGAGAGGCUGGGUGCUGAAAAGCCUUGAUACCAUCUGUUGAAUACACCUUGGAGCAUCGAUUCGACGUAUGCCUGCGUUAAAGGUUUGAGGGUCCAUAGGAACGAUCUAUGGAAAAAAAGGUGGUACCGCGUUGACUGACGUCCUUUUA
rnacentral:ncRNA from 1 species